UUCUUGUGUUUUGGAUCUUGAUUUUGGUGCUUCGUGCAAAUUUGUCAAGUAUCAUGUUUUUCUUGUAUUUUGAAUCUUGAUUUUGGUGUUUCGUGCUCAUUUAGGUAUCAUAGAUUCAUAGGUGUAGAGGAAUAGGGAAGUGGAUGAUAGAUAUAUCUGUAAGUUUCUGAAUAAACUUGUAUAUUCAACUUGGAUCGUAUGGAGGUUGGGAAGACCCAAAUUGCGAACUUCGGGGUCAUUUUGUAGGCCAUUACUUGAGUGCCUCAGCACAGAUGUGGGCUAGCACCCACAAUUAUACUCUCAAAAAGAAAAUGUAUGCACUCGUCUCUGCUUUGUCUGCCUGUCAAGAUAAAAUGGGUACAGGAUAUCUUUCUGCUUUUCCUCCUGAGCUAUUUGAUUGUUUUGAAGCUAUAAAACCAGUUUGGGCACCAUAUUACACCAUUCACAAGAUACUGGCAGGUCUUUUGGAUCAACACAUAUUUGCCAAUAAUAAUCAAGCUUUAAAGAUAGUGACAUGGAUGGUUGACUACUUUUACAAGCGUGUUUAGAAUGUGAUAGUGAAGUACACUAUUGAAAAACACUGGCUAUCAUUAAAU